AUUGAACGCUGGCGGCAGGCCUAACACAUGCAAGUCGAGCGAGUGGCGGACGGGUGAAUAAUGUCUGGGAAACUGCCCGAUGGAGGGGGAUAACUACUGGAACCGGUAGCUAAUACCGAGUACCCUCGGCUGUGCCCAGAUGGGAUUAGCUUGUAGGUUAGGUAACGGCUCACCUAGGCGACGAUCCCUAUCUGGUCUGUGAGGAUGACCAGCCACAUGGGAACUGAGACACGGUCCAGAAUCCUACGUUAGGCAGCAGUGGGGAAUAUUGCACAAUGGGCGCGAGCCUGAUGCAGCCAUGCCGCGGGUAUGAAGAAGGCUUUCGGGUUGUAAAGUACUUUCAGCGGGGAGGCGUUACCCGCAGAAGAAGCACCGGCUAACUCCGUGCCAGCCGCCGCGGUAAUAC
rnacentral:rRNA from 1 species